GGUACAUAGUUUAGUGGUUAAAACUCCCGCUUGUCAAGCGGGCAACACGGGUUCGAUUCCCGUUGUACC
rnacentral:tRNA from 1 species